rnacentral:lncRNA from 1 species
GCUGAGCACAGUUCUGACAGAGGGGAGCUGAUAUGGCCCUUUCUUGGGGAGAAGAGUCUGGGGCACCCUCUGAGAUUCUGUAUGUAUCUCCCUGAGACUUUAUCACUGUUCAGGCGGAGCCAGUGAUGAGUCCCUUUGUGGGUAUAUGCAUAAUUCUUCUCUGAGGGAACAAGAGCAAAAGGCAAAAGGACUGCAGCUCCUGUCACACAGGGCUUUUUCCACAACCAUCGAAGGCUACUCUGAUUUGCAAUUAGCAGGAUAAACUGAAGAUAACACCUUGCAGAAGCAGAUCUCAAUUAACAACUGAUGGAACCAUUCUGCUGGAUGUGAAGUGGUAUCUGAUUGUUACUAGAAGGCUAUCCUUACAAGAAAUGCUAAAGGAAAUUGUUCAGACUGAAAGCAAUUGACACCAGACGGUAAUUUGAAUCCACACAGUAAAACAAUGAGCAUCAGCAGAGGUCAUUAUGUCAGUAAUUUGAACCACAGUAUAAUAUAUAUUACUACUCCUUCCUUCUCUUAGCUGAUUUAAACAGCAAUUGCAUAAAACAAUAUGUAUAUAAUUGCAUUAUUAAGCCUAUAACAUACAGAAAUGCAAUAUAUUUGACAAUAACAUCACAAGAAAGGUAGGAGGGAACAAAGCUGUAUUAUAGUACAGAAAUGACACCAGAUGGUAACUUGAAUCUACAGGAAGAAAUAAAGAGCGCCAGAAAUGAAGAAUAAGAAGAUUAACAUAAUAAACUCUCUAAAUAUAUACUUGCCCUCCUUUCUUCUCUCAGCUACUAUAAAAGACAUGAAACAUGAAAUUAUAUAAAACAAUAAUUAUAAAAAUUUAUUGUGCAGUUUGUAAUAUAUGUAAGUGCAAAAUAUGUUGUUGGAUUCUUGGUUGAGGUUUUUAUCUUUCUGCACUUUGAAUGUGUCAUCUAGCUGCUUUCUAGCCUCCAUUCUUUCUGAUAAGGAAUCAGAUGUUAAUCUUACUGGGGUUACAUUGUACAUGAUGCGUUGCUCUUCUCUUGCUGCUUUCAAGAUUUUCUCUUCAUUCUUGGUUUUCAACAUUUUGAUUAUAAUGUCUCAAGGUCUAGACCUUUUUGCAAUAUCCUACUUGAGUUCAACAAGCUUCUUGGAUAUGUAGAUUAAUGUGUUGUUUUGUUCUUUUGUUUGGGUUUUUUUUUUUUUUGGUCAAAUUUGUGAUAUUUUCAGCCAUUUUUCCUUUGUAUAGGUUUUUAUCUCCUUUCUCUUUCUCUCAUCUUUCUGGGACUCUCAUUAUACAUAUGUUGGUACACUUAAUGGUGUCCCACAUUUCUCUGAUGCCAUUUAUUUUUCCUCAUUCUUUUCAUCUCUGUGCUUCAAAUUGCAUAAUCUCAAUUUAUCUUCAAAUUCACUGAUUCUUUUUCCAACUCAAAUCUACUGUUGAGUUCCUCUUUUGAAUUUUUCAUUUUACUUACUGUGUUUUUCAACUCUAGAAUUUCCAUUUCUUUUUAAAAUAAUUUCUAUCUUUAUCAAUAUUUUCUAUUUGAUAAAACUGUCAUAAUACAUUUACUUAAUUCUUUAAAUAUUGUUUCCUUUAGUUCUUGGGACAUAUUUAUAAUAGCUGCUUUGUGAUUCUUUGAACUUUCCUGCUAAGUCCAUUCUCUGGGCUCCCUCAAAAACAGUUUCUAUUGUUGGCUUUUUCCCUUUACAUGGGUCACUCUUUCCUGUUUCUUUGCACAUCUGACAAUUUUUUUUUUGAAAACAGAACAUGUUAGAUAAUACAUUGCAGCAACUUUGGAUAUUGAUUCUCCCUUACCACCUUUGGGAUCUGUUGUUGUUUCCUCAUUUUCUUGUUUGUUUAGUGACAUAAUUGGACUAGUUCAGUUAAGUCUGUUUCCUUCAAAGUGUGCAACAUCUAACAGCAUGCCUCAGACAGCACAGACUUGGGCAUGUACACAGUCUUUUUAACUGCCAGAGAUAACUGUGGUUUUCUCUUUGACUGUCUCUUUCUCAUUGAGACUUUGGGUGGUCUACCUCUGUUGGUAUUACAUACAACCAUUGGCCUCCAGCAAUCUUUAUCUGAUUGUUCUACUUUUUUCAGCAACUCCCUGGGGCAUAAUAUGCUUCACAGUCUAAUCCAAUUAAAGUUCCUUGAAAGGGGCAGAGUGUUUACAGUCUUUGAAGCUUGCUCCAAAUCUGCCCUGGAAGAAUGUCUGUCCUAUAGAUCAGGAGCUGGGGGAAAUUAGAAAACUCAUUCUUUCCCAGGCACUGCACUAGAGUUCUUCUUAUGGUGUAGGAGCUGUGAGAAGAGAAAAGGGGGAAGUAGGAACUGGCACUGCCACCCAGCUGCGCCCACCACCAAGUACACAUAUUCCACAGCGCAGAGCUGGGGAGAAUAAUAACUGCCAAUAUUCAUAGCUGUCAACCUACCCAUAAUAGUUCUUCCAUUCUAGGAAGCUGGGGAAGAUGGGAGAUGCCACUUGGCUGCUGAGCCAACUGGAAUAGUUCUCGUGCAACAUAGAGCCAUGAAAAAGGGGGGACUGACUUCUUACCAGCUGCCCCACUUAGAUCCUCCCCAUAUAAUCGGAGUUGGGGGUGAAGGAACAGACACUGAUGCAUGUUUGCUGGCACCGAUUCAAUAUUCGACUUCCACAGCAUGGAUCUUUGAAAAAUACUGUCAUGUAAUUUUCACUGGCUGCCAAAUCCACCCCAAAUAACUUUUUUACCCCAGGGAGCUGGAGAAGAUGGGAAUUGCCACUUGUGGGAUGAGCCCACAGAAAACAUCCUCCCGCAAGGUAGAGCUGUUGCAGCCCCUAGUUCUAAUGCAAUGUCCUCCCACUGUUCCUAUCAAGUCUCCAUAUUUUUGCUGAAUAAAUGCUUCUCGGUUUGUUGUAAUCCCUUUGAUCACUCUCCAGAGACUUUGAAUGGUUUUCUUUGCUAAUUUUGACCAGCUUGGUGGAUACCUCUUCAGGAGAGAGGUUUCCCCAAACUCCUCCACCACUGCUCCAGAAAUCCCCAGAAGUUCUUGACAUUUCGUGAGGGCAAAACUUAGAGCACAAGGCAUCAGUGGCUUCCUUCUCUUACCAGUUGUAUAACCUUGAGCAAGUCUUUUAACCUCUGUGAACAGUUUCUCAUCUGUAACAUAAGGAUAAUCAUAGUGCCCACAAUUGUUGGGAGGAUUUGUUGAGUUAAUCCUUGUUAUGCACCUAGUCUAGUGCCAAGUUAUCAUUAUUACUAUUGUCAUUAUUUUUAAUAAUCCACGAGUUUAUAACUUCAGAGUGUUGGAAUCAUAACCAGUUCACACAAUACUUUUGUACAAGUUAUAAAAGGCAUUUUUCCUCAGGACAAUUUAUUAUUUGUCUUUCAAAGUAAUUAUAAUAAUAUAAUGAUUUUGUUAGAAUAAGACAA